AACGAACGCUGGCGGCAUGCCUAACACAUGCAAGUCGAACGAGACCUUCGGGUCUAGUGGCGCACGGGUGCGUAACGCGUGGGAACCUGCCCUUAGGUUCGGAAUAACUCCCCGAAAGGGGUGCUAAUACCGGAUAAUGUCUUCGGACCAAAGAUUUAUCGCCUUUGGAUGGGCCCGCGUUGGAUUAGCUAGUUGGUAGGGUAAAAGCCUACCAAGGCGACGAUCCAUAGCUGGUCUGAGAGGAUGAUCAGCCACACUGGGACUGAGACACGGCCCAGACUCCUACGAGAGGCAGCAGUGGGGGAUAUUGGACAAUGGGCGAAAGCCUGAUCCAGCAAUGCCGCGUGAGUGAUGAAGGCCUUAGGGUUGUAAAGCUCUUUUACCCGGGAUGAUAAUGACAGUACCGGGAGAAUAAGCUCCGGCUAACUCCGU
rnacentral:rRNA from 1 species